CGAAGUUGAACGUAUGCUGUAUCGCUGUAUCAUCAAUUUUUUUUAAUGGAAGAAUUAAAGAAAUAUUUUUGCUGUUAUUAACAACGAGAAGAAAGUAGCGAUAAGAUGCGCCAUGCUUGGGACAAAAUGUGGCAUUUGCGCUCCAGAAGUACAGAAAAAGGAGGUGAAGAGAAAAAAACAAUAGAUGGAAACUUUAUCAUAUGAAUUGGUGGAUGAUGAAUUUAAUACUGGACUGGACUUAUACUUCCACGAACUUACAAGAUCCAGUAAACACAUUAAAAGAAGGAUUGGAGGAUUAAUGCUGAUGCAGGAAUGACUUAAGUAGAACUGCCAUUUUGCUGUCAAGAAAGCAAAGGAGAAUUUUUAGUUAAAGAUGAUCCCAUUUCAAAAAAUUUCUAGUUAAAUGUAAAUUCCUUUCAGGGAGAAAAAAAUUAUAGAAGCGAUGUCUGACA